rnacentral:rRNA from 1 species
GACGAACGCUGGCGGCGUGCUUAACACAUGCAAGUCGAACGGAAAGGCCCUGCUUUUGUGGGGUGCUCGAGUGGCGAACGGGUGAGUAACACGUGUGUAACCUGCCCUUGACUUUGGGAUAACUUCAGGAAAAUGGGGCUCAUACCGGAUAGGAGCUCCUGCUGCAUGGUGGGGGUUGGAGAGUUUCGGCGGUUGGGGAUGGACUCGCGGCUUAUCAGCUUGUUGGUGGGGUAGUGGCUUACCAAGGCUUUGACGGGUAGCCGGCCUGAGAGGGUGACCGGCCACAUGGGGACUGAGAUACGGCCCAGACUCCUACGGGAGGCAGCAGGGGGGAAUAUUGCACAAUGGGCGGAAGCCUGAUGCAGCAACGCCGCGUGCGGGAUGACGGCCUUCGGGGUGUAAACCGCUUUCGCCUGUGACGAAGCGUGAGUGACGGUAAUGGGUAAAGAAGCACCGGCUAACUACGUG